GCUGGGCACUGUGGUGUACACCUGUAAUCCAAGUGGCUCAGGAGGCUGAGGUAGGAGGAUCAUGGGUAUAAAGCCAUCUUAGCAAAAGCGAGGUGCUAAGUAACUCAGUGAGACCCUGUCUCUA
rnacentral:sRNA from 1 species